rnacentral:rRNA from 1 species
UGGUCAAGUGGGGGAACCCUGGCGGCGAGCGGCGAACGGGUGAGUAACGCGUAGGAAUCUACCUGAUAGAGGGGGAUAGCCCGGGGAAACUCGGAUUAAUACCGCAUACGCCCUACGGGGGAAAGCAGGGGAUCUUCGGACCUUGCGCUAUCAGAUGAGCCUGCGUCGGAUUAGCUAGUUGGUGAGGUAAAGGCUCACCAAGGCGACGAUCCGUAGCUGGUCUGAGAGGAUGAUCAGCCACACUGGAACUGAGACACGGUCCAGACUCCUACGGGAGGCAGCAGUGGGGAAUAUUGGACAAUGGGGGAAACCCUGAUCCAGCCAUGCCGCGUGUGUGAAGAAGGCCCUAGGGUUGUAAAGCACUUUAAGCAGGGAGGAAAGGGUGAUGGCUAAUAUCCAUCAUCAUUGACGCUACCUGCAGAAUAAGCACCGGCUAACUUCGUGCCAGCAGCCGCGGUAAUACGAAGGGUGCAAGCGUUAAUCGGAAUUACUGGGCGUAAAGCGCGCGUAGGCGGUUUGGUAAGUGUGAUGUGAAAUCCCCGGGCUCAACCUGGGAACUGCAUCACAUACUGUCAGGCUAGAGUACGGUAGAGGGGGGUAGAAUUCCACGUGUAGCGGUGAAAUGCGUAGAGAUGUGGAGGAAUACCAGUGGUGAAGGCGGCCCCCUGGAUCGAUACUGACGCUGAGGUGCGAAAGCGUGAGGAGCAAACAGGAUUAGAUACCCUGGUAGUCCUAGCCGUAAACGAUGAGCACUAGGUGUUGGGGGGUUACCUUCAGCGCCGUAAGAUAACUCGUUAAGUGCUCCACCUGGGGACUACGACCGCAAGGUU